rnacentral:snRNA from 1 species
GUGCUCACUUCAGCAGCACAUACACUAAAAUUGGAACAACACAGAGAAGAUUAGCAUGGCCCUUGAAUAAGGAUGACACACAAAUUCAUGAAGCAUUCCCCCCCCCC